rnacentral:rRNA from 1 species
GCAAGUCGAACGCUCACCUUCGGGUGGGAGUGGCAGACGGGUGAGUAACACGUGGGAACGUACCCUUUGGUUCGGGACAACUCUGGGAAACUGGAGCUAAUACCGGAUACGCCCUUUUGGGGAAAGGUUUACUGCCGAAGGAUCGGCCCGCGUCUGAUUAGCUAGUUGGUGGGGUAACGGCCUACCAAGGCGACGAUCAGUAGCUGGUCUGAGAGGAUGAUCAGCCACACUGGGACUGAGACACGGCCCAGACUCCUACGGGAGGCAGCAGUGGGGAAUAUUGGACAAUGGGCGCAAGCCUGAUCCAGCCAUGCCGCGUGAGUGAUGAAGGCCUUAGGGUUGUAAAGCUCUUUUAUCCGGGACGAUAAUGACGGUACCGGAGGAAUAAGCCCCGGCUAACUUCGUGCCAGCAGCCGCGGUAAUACGAAGGGGGCUAGCGUUGCUCGGAAUCACUGGGCGUAAAGGGCGCGUAGGCGGCGUUUUAAGUCGGGGGUGAAAGCCUGUGGCUCAACCACAGAAUGGCCUUCGAUACUGGGACGCUUGAGUCUGGUAGAGGUUGGUGGAACUGCGAGUGUA